rnacentral:sRNA from 1 species
GACACUUCAAUGUUUCAAGAAUGAAAGUGAAAAUACAAGAGAAAAGCUAUAUCACAAGUUAAACUUCAGUCAGUCUUGGAAGGAGGUCAAUGCAGAAACUUACGGCAGGAAUUGAAGCAGAAAUCAUGGAAGAAUGCAGCUUAUGGGUUUUCCAGUUCUUUGAAAAUAUACAAAAGUUCUCCUCGUUCACUGUGUACAAGAAAUUUGAUAAAACUAUGAAAAAUUGAAAAAAGGAAAAAUAA